AAACAAACAAAACCUUUCUUUGGGCCAAGAG
rnacentral:piRNA from 1 species